rnacentral:rRNA from 1 species
AGAGUUUGAUCCUGGCUCAGAACGAACGCUGGCGGCAUGCCUAACACAUGCAAGUCGAACGAGGUUUCCGCUUCGGUGGGGGCCUAGUGGCGCACGGGUGAGUAACGCGUGGGAACCUGCCCUGUGGUACGGAAUAACUCCGGGAAACUGGAGCUAAUACCGUAUGUCGUCCUGCGGGACAAAGAUUCAUCGCCAUGGAUGGGCCCGCGUAGGAUUAGCUUGUUGGCGGGGUAACGGCCCACCAAGGCUACGAUCCUUAGCUGGUCUGAGAGGAUGAUCAGCCACACUGGGACUGAGACACGGCCCAGACUCCUACGGGAGGCAGC